AACGAACGCUGGCGGCAUGCCUAACACAUGCAAGUCGAACGAGACCUUCGGGUCUAGUGGCGCCCGGGUGCGUCACGCGUGGGAACCUGCCCUUAGGUUCGGAAUAACUCCCCGACAGGGGUGCUAAUACCGGAUAAUGUCUUCGGCCCAAAGAUUUAUCGCCUUUGGUUGGGCCCGCGUUGGAUUAGCUAGUUGGUAGGGUAAAAGCCUACCAAGGCGACGAUCCAUAGCUGGUCUGAGAGGAUGAUCAGCCACACUGGGACUGAGACACGGCCCAGACUCCUACGGGAGGCAGCAGUGGGGAAUAUUGGACAAUGGGCGAAAGCCUGAUCCAGCAAUGCCGCGUGAGUGAUGAAGGCCUUAGGGUUGUAAAGCUCUUUUACCCGGGAUGAUAAUGACAGUACCGGGAGAAUAAGCUCCGGCUAACUCCGUG
rnacentral:rRNA from 1 species